GUUCUAGUGGUCUGAGGCAGGUGUUAGAUUACUCAGCUGUUCUAGUGGUCUGAGGCAGGUGUUAGAUUACUCAGCUGAUCUAGUGGUCUGAGACAGGUGGUAGAUUACUCAGCUGUUCUAGUGGUCUGAGGCAGGUGUUAGAUUACUCAGCUGUUCUAGUGGUCUGAGACAGGUGGUAGAUUACUCAGCUGUUCUAGUGGUCUGAGGCAGGUGGUAGAUUACUCAGCUGUUCUAGUGGUCUGAGGCAGGUGUUAGAUUACUCAGCUGUUCUAGUGGUCUGAGGCAGGUGUUAGAUUACUCAGCUGUUCUAGUGGUCUGAGGCAGGUGGUAGGUUACUCAGCUGUUCUAGUGGUCUGAGGCAGGUGGUAGAUUACUCAGCUGUUCUAGUGGUCUGAGACAGGUGUUAAAUUACAAGCGUUUUCAAUUGUAACGUUAAUAUUAUUACAUUGUGAUGUGUCGUGGAAUUAUCAGAAUUGGUUGGUAACAUUUGUAAGAUGUUUUAUAUCAAAUGUGUGUAGGUUAUUUCUCAUAAGAAUGUAUUUUGUUGUACUAUAGUGGUGGCCAUUGGCAGUUAUCUGUUCUAUGUCAGGACUAAGUUGCAUGGGCCGCAGAGAGGGGAGAGGUCAAAGUGUCAUCAUGUGUAAACAUGUCUUUUACUCCCUACCUUUCCCAGUGGGGAAAGGAAGGUUGCAGUGUCUGGAAUCAUUCUAUGCUCCCUCUUUGUUGACCUGUAGGGUCAGUCUCCUAUCUGUGUUUCCCUCUUAUGUUGUUUCUAUCUUAACCUUUAGCCUCACCCUCCUCUCCGUGAGUUUGUCCAAUAGUUUGUAUUUUGAGUGGGUUGUAUAUAAAUGACAAUUUGAUAUAUGCCUGUUGAUAUGGAGGAAUUGGUUUAUGGUUCUGGGGUUUGGGAAAGGAGACAAAGCUGAACGAUGAGUUAUGUCUAUGCUGUCUGACUAUGUGUGUCUUUGCUAUUAAAAGGAACUCAGUUGCAUUGUAAGGGGACUCUCAGAGAAUUCACUGGGGAGACACUGAAUUUAUCUGAGAGUCACAGGAUUGUGAUAGAGCUCGUAUAAUUAAAGAUGGACUUUUAUAACUAACUCUGACGUGUGUGUGUGGUUUGCUCCCAUGAUUU
ensembl:lncRNA